rnacentral:rRNA from 1 species
CCUACGGGUGGCAGCAGUGGGGGAUAUUGGACAAUGGGGGGAACCCUGAUCCAGCGACGCCGCGUGAGUGAAGAAGUAUUUCGGUAUGUAAAGCUCUGUCAGCAGGGAAGAAAGAAAUGACGGUACCUGACCAAGAAGCCCCGGCUAACUACGUGCCAGCAGCCGCGGUAAUACGUAGGGGGCAAGCGUUAUCCGGAAUUAUUGGGUUUAAAGGGUGCGUAGGCGGGAUGCCAAGUCAGCGGUAAAAAUGCGGUGCUCAACGCCGUCGGGCCGUUGAAACUGGCGUUCUUGAGUGGGCGAGAAGUAGGCGGAAUGCGUGGUGUAGCGGUGAAAUGCAUAGAUAUCACGCAGAACUCCGAUUGCGAAGGCAGCAUACCGGCGCGCAACUGACGCUCAUGCACGAAAGCGUGGGUAUCGAACAGGAUUAGAUACCCGAGUAGUC